rnacentral:tRNA from 1 species
AAAAUUUUAGUUUAAUAAAAACAUUUUGUUUACAAUAGAAAAAUUAAAAUACUUUUUAAAAUUUUU